UCCUAAGAACGAAAUUCAAGUUUCUUCCCUCGAGAACUCAAGAAGUUAAGUUCCAAUUUCAAGCAUUCUUCAAGAAUUCGUCCAAUCGAGGUAUAUGGGGUUUAUGAACAAGGUUAUUAUUUCAUACUUGUGUCCAAAAUACAUGGUUUUAAGAUUUAAUUCAUUUAUUUUGAGUUAGGGUUCAUAUCCUAAAAUUGCUAUAUUCUUGAAGUAUGUUACUAC
rnacentral:lncRNA from 1 species